AAAUCAGCCUGCUGGAUGUUUUUAACACAAAAUUCCAAGGCGGCCUCGGACGUCUUCUCGGCUUUGUUUCUCGGUGUGGUUUCGUCCUCGGAGCUGGUACUGCCCACUACACGACGCGGUACGGUAAAGUCCACAAAAAGCGUUCAAGACAGCACACCACCAACGCAACAAAAUCUCUGCCGAGAAUCCGCUAACAAAUGAGAUCUGUUGUAGUACCACAACUGACCUGCGAGAGGCAGCAUGGUGAUACAGAGCAUCCAAUCGUUAAGAAGACACAAUGAAGAAGAACAACAACAAAAUAGAAGAAGCUAAGCUAACCCUUUUUUUUUUUUUUAAAUAAAGGUUGAGGUUAUAGAUUUUCUUUGUACAAGGUGGUGGAGUAUUUGUUAGUGUGAAUUUUAUUUUAUUUUAUUUUGGAGGGAUUUAUAUUUAAAUGUGUUUUGUUAAUUUGUGAAAAGAAAUAUGUUUGUCAUUUUAUUGUUGUAACCAGUCUUUGAGAAGGACAGGAAGGGAUUAAGAGAGAAAGAGAGAGAAAGAAAAGCUGGAGAAGUGCGAAGUAUGAUUGGCGGUUUGAAGAAAAGAAAAGUUAAGGUCCGACAUUUAGCAAAAUUGAUCAACGUGUUCGGCAAGGGCUUUGUCUUGUUCAAUUACGGUAGGGUGUCGUUUGAGUGGACUACUCAAAUCACGUCGUAACGUGGUGGAGUUAGCCGCUAAUACGGAGGCGUGGACCUUUGCUAGCGACAAGCUAACGCCAGCUAGCGAGGCCUGCAUUGGAGCGCCGGGAAAAAAAUCUUCGCAACGGAUCAGAAUGUGAGGACUUGGAUGAUCUGGACCAGUGGACGCAACCCUCGACGUUGGUUGCAGGGACACAGUUUCUUUUGUUUUGCCGGCUAUUUUCAUAUUUGUACAGGACCUUCAGUUCGCCUAGCUUAGCUUAUACGUGCAUUGUGUACCUGUUCAGAGUGUUUUGUAUACAUAUUUCAUUUCCAUCCUUUAUUCUGUUAUUAAAUGUUCAGACUUUUUGUUCCAUAA